UGAGUAGGUAAGCGACUUGCCCAGAUG
rnacentral:sRNA from 1 species